rnacentral:misc_RNA from 1 species
AACAUCUGUAGGGAAUGGAACAGCGCCUAACAGUAUAAACUCAUCGACCCUAUCCCACCAGCGGAAUUCAGCCUGAAUUCUGUUCCUAACAACAUUGUAAAGUAAAGUGGGGUAAAACAAAGCCCGAGCCCCUGCUCCAAUGAAAACCCUCUUCGCGUCCCAUGAAACAACGCCUUCGCUAUUGCUUUUAUUAGCAAUUUCCACGGACGAUAUCUCCUCCGCCUCUCUCUCCACCUCAACACCUUUCAAUUCUUCAAUAAUCAUAAUAUCCUCAAUAUUCAAACAACAAAACCAAAUCACAACGCCACCCAAAUUGCACACCAAAAAGCCUAACAAAAGUAUCAAAUAUAUACAGAUAUGCGUAUUUAUUUACACAAAUUGCCUAUCAACAGAUGAACAACGAAAUCUUUCACAUCACUAAUAAAGGAAAGCCCUAAUAAAUUGGCAGAUAUGAUUGACAAAAACUGGAACUUUGGCAGGGAAGACGAAUACAAAGAGCGAG